rnacentral:rRNA from 1 species
GAUGAACGCUGGCGGCGUGCCUAAUACAUGCAAGUCGAGCGAACAGAUGAGGCGCUUGCUCCUCUGACGUUAGCGGCGGACGUGUGUGUAACACGUGUAUCACCUACUUAUAAGACUGGUAUCACUUCGGGAAACCGGCUCUUAUACCGUAUAAUAUCUUGAACCGCAUUGUUCAAUAGUGAAAGACGGUUUUUCUGUCACUUAUCGAUGGAUCCGCGCGGCAUUAGCUAGUUGUUAAGGUAAGGGCUUACCAAGGCAAGCCUGCGUAACCGACCUGAUAGGGGGAUAGGCCACACGGGAACGGAGACAGGGUCAAGACGACUAAGGGAGGGAGCAGAAGGGAAUCUGCCGCAAUGGGCGAAAGCCUGACGGAGCAAGGCCGAGUGAGUGAUGAAGGUCUUCGGAGCGGAAAAAUCGGUUAUGAGGGAAGAACAAAUGUGGAAGUAACUAAGCACGGAGUGACGGUAACUAAUCAGAAAGCAACGGCUAACUACGUG